UACGUAGGGGGCAAGCGUUGUCCGGAAUUAUUGGGCGUAAAGAGCGUGUAGGCGGUCCGAUAAGUCGGCUGUGAAAGUCCAGGGCUCAACCCUGGGAUGCCGGUGGAUACUGUCGGGCUAGAGUACGGAAGAGGCGAGUGGAAUUCCCGGUGUAGCGGUGAAAUGCGCAGAUAUCGGGAGGAACACCAAUUGCGAAGGCAGCUCGCUGGGACGUCACUGACGCUGAGACGCGAAAGCGUGGGGAGCAAACAGG
rnacentral:rRNA from 1 species